rnacentral:rRNA from 1 species
CAUACGGGUGGCAGCAGUAGGGAAUUUUCCGCAAUGGGCGAAAGCCUGACGGAGCGACGCCGCGUGAAUGAUGAAGUCUUUCGGGAUGUAAAGUUCGAUCGGCCGGGGAAGAAUGGUUUUCAUACUAAUAAUAUGAGAGCAGGGACGGUACCCGGAGUGAAGCCACGGCUAAUUACGUGCCAGCAGCCGCGGUAAUACGUAAGUGGCAAGCGUUAUCCGGAAUCACUGGGUGGAAAGGGUGUGUAGGCGGUAAUGUAAGUUUUGUGUUUAAAUUCAGGGCUCAACUCUGAACUUGCACGAAAAACUGCAUUGCUAGAGUGACGAAGAGGAAACUGGAACUCCAGGUGAAGCGGUGAAAUGUGUAGAUAUCUGGGGGAACACCAAUGGCGAAGGCAGGUUUCUGGUCGUCAACUGACGCUGAGACACGAAAGCGUGGGGAUCAAACG